UCGUUUCCAGCCUGACCCCCGCGGACCGGGCCCGCCCGGCACCCGCCCGUUUCGGGGGAGGCAGCGUGCCCGCCCCCGCGCGGGAGGGGCAGUCCCGGGGCCCGGGAAAGCCCCCGCGCCCUCCGCUGCAGGGGGCACCGGGCGCACCGAGAGCUCCCUGCACAUCCAGAGCCAGCGCGCUCCUUCCCUCGCUGCUGUGCCCGACAGACGAACGUGCUGGUGACAAACCCCGGCAAUCCGCUCGCAGCUCCGUGGGCACGGCUUGUUCUGGCAGCUGCUGACAGGGACGGAGGAUCACCCUUGGAGCACAACCACAACUACAAAGCCUUUGUUGUUUGUUAGCUGGGCGAGUUCACCACAAAAAAUGUUGUGGCUUUAUAAAGGCAAUAAGAAAACUUAAUUGCAGAACAUGAAAUCUGUAGGUAAUUUGUAAAAUGGGCAAGCCGGGAAUGUAAUGACUGUUAAUCACAUAGCAACUCCUAAGAAAAGUUCGUUAAACUAACUGCACAAAUAUCCAGAAAAUGGCCUGGGGAUGUACACUGCAAAGUCUGAAAACUAAUUAUUAUGUAUACAAAAGGAAGACAGCGGUGACUGGAAAUAAAAAAAAAAAAAAAUGAGGUACAAAGAUCCACAAACUUAAUCCAUUACUUCUAAUGAGACUGAAGCACGGGUACUAUAUACCAUUAUAUGGGCUCACAGGUGUCAAUCUCUAAUUUGUACCAAGGGGAUGCAGCACAAAACUGCUUGCCUCAAUGAAGUUUAAAUAACCAGCACGAAUACUGACGGGAAAACAACAAAACUUGUAAGAUAGAUUAAAAACCAGCAUUUUGAUAAAUAUGUACGCCAGAGGCCAGGAACAGAAGCGAGUUUCUGAAUUUUCCCCACUGCUGGCAGCAGCCCUGCUCAGCCCCGCUCAGGCUCCCGGAGGCACGGGAGGAGCUGGGGGGCUCUGGAUGCCCUGCAGGCCCUGCCAAAGCACGCCAACACAGCGCGGAGAAAAGGAGAUCAGAUGGAUAAGUUAUGAACCAAAAUAUAGGCGGCCCUUGAGCUUCCAAAGCAGUCACAGAAAGCUCCCCCUUCCACGACCGCGUUCCAAAGCAGAAGAAUGAAGGAAUUACUUUUUCACAGCUGCUUGUAAUAAGGAGUCCUACAGGUGAUUCGCUGCACAAGGACUGAAAAUAUUGCAACUAAGCAAGACAUCACCUAUUAAAUUCUAAACAUCAGAUAUUACAACAAAUCUGAGGCCCAGCCUCUCUGUCAGUGUUUUUCUGUUGGUAGGAUUUUGUAGACGUGAAGCUGUGGGAACACCUAGAGAGCCAUUUGAUUUUUGAGGAUAAAAGUAUAUUAACAGAACUUCAGGUGUUAUUGAAGAAGAAUAGAGACUCACUAGGUUUUCGUAAUAGCAAUUUAUUUGCACAGUGGAGCAGCAAUGCAAGUUUUUCCAUGUGGCUGAGGCAAAAGAAGUAAGUGAUUCCAUCAUUUGUCUCCUGUCAGUGUCUUUCAAGUCUUACAAGAUAAUAUAUGUCUGUUCAUGUAGAAAUGGAAACUAUUUAUUUAAUCUGAUCUUUGGCCAAGAAAUCCUCUCUGCUAUCCUGCCAAACCAUUGGUGGGGAGGAGGAUUUUCUUCCUUGUACAUAUCUCAACAUAAACACAACUGAGUUCUAUUUUUUCACAGUUCCCAUUAAUUCUUAUUAUGUAAUCAAGCUUAAAGAAAAAUAUCUGGUCUGAAUAAAAUAGUUACAUUUUGGCAGAUAAGGUACAUUCAAGUCAGGGUUCCCCUGAGCAAGAGUAGCAGAGACUAAAAUAUACAACAAACAACUACAAUAGUAGGUUGAUAACCUGUACUUUAAAACAUGAGCAAUCUGUGAUUGCCAUAAGUGUAAUUCUUUUAUAUAGGAAACCAUUAAUUGUUAAAAAUGGGAGUUCAUUAGUAUCACUAAUUUGGUAACUUCAGAAGAUAGUGCAGUUUUUACACAGAACAUGUCAAACUACUUGAAAGAUCAAGAAUAGCAUCAAAAAAAGAACGUUGACCUGAAAGAUCUGAAGAAAAUCUGCUAAUGAAAACAAAACUGCGUGUCCUAGCAGUUUAUCAGAAAGGCAAAUAUUAGCAUAUGAAGGCCUAAACUAAGACUAGCAAAGCCUUUUCUCAGUUACUCUGAGGAAACUUUCACAUCCAUUCUUAAACAUUCUGCUUUUAAAUUAUUCAAGAAAUGAACAGCUAUGGCUAGAAUAAAAUCAAAUUUUCAAGAGGGGAAAACAUGAAUUAUACACUGCAUACAACUGCUUACUUUGAAAUGGUAGUUGUGCCUUUGUUAAAAGCUAGAAAUCUUAUGAAUGGUUGAAAGAACUGUAUUUCCUACAGCUUUCCCUCACGAGCCCUCAAUAUUGAACUCUGCAUUUACACCACAACAUAGACAACUAUUAGUUACCAGCCUAACUAGAAUGAUGGCAGCAAGUUGCAGAAAAUACAUGUUCUCAUGGAAAAGACAAAAUGACAAAACGUUUCACCUGCUAGGAUUUGUUAAAAAUCAGACCCAGCAAAACUCUUUUCAUGUUAAACUAUUUAGGAGAGAAAACUGUUAGGAAGCGUCCCAUAAAACAGAUUAGUUGACAAAGUGAGCAAGAUCCUGCAAGGUGAAGAUUACCUUGAAUCAUCAGGUACUCUCUUGCUAACGCACCAUCAAAUGAAAGUUCUCUCUUAAAGCUAGAUUUGGUAGACAAUUUAAUUUAGUGCAUAAAAGCACUAAAUACUUAAUUGUUGUGUUCUGUAGGGCAUCAGAUAAUGAACACAGGCCAGCCAAAAAUAUUCCAUUAUUUUGGAAAAGCUGUGUUCUUUGCCAAAGCAUAGAAAGCAUAUCACAGUGCUGCAGCCACUGCAGAAAUACAGGUUACAGUUCUGUGCUAACACUAAAGCACUGGAGUAAGAGAAAGAGAAAUCAAGAAGGGAUCACACCACUGAAAAGAAAAAUGAGAACACUGCCAUCAGGUUGAAACACAAAACAAGAAUUAAUGAAUCUAAGUCUACAAAUGUAACUACGCCAUGUUUAAGAAAGGAAGGAAUACUCUUGUUAAUCAGUACAGCAUUAUAGAGGAAAAGGUUUACAUAAAUAUUUGCAUGAAACAGAACAAGCAAUUGCACGAUACAGAAGAGAAAAUCUUUUGAAGGGUCUGGGCCAUUGCUGAGGACAAAAACGCGCAGAAAUAGCUGCUAUAGGGCAGCCAGUUUUACACAGGCGGAACCAUCAAGGCACGAGGGUAAGAGAAGAGCAAGGCCAGGAGCCCGGGUGCUGAACAGCGGGUCUGACACUGAACUUUGGGGGAUGUUUUACAAAAACCCCGAGGUUUUUACAC